ensembl:misc_RNA
UAUCUGAAAAUAAUUCUCCCUUUUAAUCGUCGUAUUUAUACUGAUGAACCUAGGAAGUUUCAGAAAG